GUCGUUAGUGUCGCCCUUGUUGUUUUACGUCGUGAAACGAGGCAAAAUGGGCGAAACAAUUGGUUGCUAAUUAAUACUUAUAUUCCUGUGAUUUCAUGUAACAAAUUGAACUUCUUAUCAUAUAUGCAUACUGUCAGUCAUUCCAAAAAGUUGACUUAGCGCUCAGUCACUUUCCAAGUUUCCAUCCAAUAGACCCAUCAUGUUGUCAAAAGCCUAAAACUAAUGUGUGAAGCUCUCAUGUCGUGGAAUACAAAUGUGUGGAGACAAGGUAUUUCCCCAUUACUGCUACCACACCAACCACACAAAACCAACCACCUUACUAAAUUCGGCACCAUUCACCCAUAUGAUAAAGGAAAUUUACCUCAACCUAAGGAGUAAGGCUGUUGGUUGCUGUGAUUUCCAUUUUUACGGUUUUUUAUCAUGAAAACUUCAGUGUGCUUGUUAGUAUAGAGCACAUAAAAGAUCCAAUAAGCCAAUGCUGAUCUUUGUCCAUGACGGAAGAGGGACAUCCAGCAACGUUCUGCUCCAUCCUUAUCUUCCCGACGUACACUCAUCUAGCUUCAAUGCUUUUGCUGCUACAACUUGUCUUACUUCACUGACGAGUUGGAACACUUCAGUGGUCGCUACCCUUUGCUGUUAAACACCUGCAGUCACUCACCACGGGAUUAUGCCUAGAUGAUGCAGAGGAGACGACGAGAAGAUUGACACCAAAACAUCGCCGGUAUCUCCAAAGUGUCAGCGCGGAUCAUUAUUUGUUGUGUGUAAUAUGUGUUAGUGUUAGUUAACCUGUUGGUUGCCACGCCUUUGUUCUCCCCUGCUCCUUAGCACGUGCUGCGUGCGCUGUUCGGCCUCGUGGUUUUCAUGCCGAGGGGUCGGAAAGUCGCACCAGCCCAAAACUUGCCGCAAGGCGCCUGUUAGGCAAUGCACCAUACUACCCUAGUUCCCCCUUGUCGAUGCGGUGAUGGAUUCUUCUGUCACCGUCUCAGCCCGGACUUGUCAGCAAUGGCAAGUUCCACCUUGGUCAUAGAUCCUUUAGACGUGGCGUGUAGAGUAGUAGAGAGCAACCUACGGGUUGUAUGGCGUGGCAGCCAACGGGUUAACUUGUAUGUAUGUGAUUGUAAAAUGUGGUGGAAUUGUGGGUGGAGGUGGGACUUUUUAUGUAUUUUUUGCUGUGUUUCAUAACUAGUAAUAAGAAAAUGUUUAGU